CAAUAGCGUAUAUUAAAGUUGUUGCGGUUAAAAAGCUCGUAGUUGGAUUUCUGCUGAGAACGACCGGUCCGCCCUUUGGGUGUGUAUCUGGCUCUUUCUUGGCAUCUUCUUGGUGAACGUUGCUGCACUUGACUGUGUGGAGCGCUACCCAGGACUUUUACUUUGAGGAAAUUAGAGUGUUUCAAGCAGGCAUACGCCUUGAAUACAUUAGCAUGGAAUAAUAAGAUAGGACCUCGGUUCUAUUUUGUUGGUUUCUAGAGCUGAGGUAAUGAUUAAUAGGGAUAGUUGGGGGCAUUCGUAUUUAACUGUCAGAGGUGAAAUUCUUGGAUUUACGGAAGACGAACAUCUGCGAAAGCAUUUGCCAAGGAUGUUUUCAUUGA
rnacentral:rRNA from 1 species